rnacentral:rRNA from 1 species
CCUACGGGAGGCAGCAGUGAGGAAUAUUGGUCAAUGGACGAAAGUCUGAACCAGCCAAGUAGCGUGAAGGAUGACUGCCCUAUGGGUUGUAAACUUCUUUUAUAUGGGAAUAAAAUGUUCCACGUGUGGGAUUUUGUAUGUACCAUAUGAAUAAGGAUCGGCUAACUCCGUGCCAGCAGCCGCGGUAAUACGGAGGAUCCGAGCGUUAUCCGGAUUUAUUGGGUUUAAAGGGAGCGUAGGUGGAUUGUUAAGUCAGUUGUGAAAGUUGGUGGCUCAACCGUAACAUUGCAGUGGAAACUGGCAGGCUUGAGUACAGGAGAGGUAGGCGGAAUUCGUGGUGUAGCGGUGAAAUGCUUAGAUAUCACGAAGAACUCCGAUUGCGAAGGCAGCAUACGGGAGCGCAACUGACACUGAGGCUCGAAAGCGCGGGUAUCGAACAGGAUUAGAUACCCCGGUAGUC